rnacentral:lncRNA from 1 species
CCGGCCCGCGCCGGUCCCGGGGCGCCCGGCGGGACUGGCGGGGCCGCAGCGGGAUCGGCUCCUCCUCGCCGCUGUGCUCGGUCUGGCCGUUCCCUCCUCUAUCCUCUUACGUUUCCCUCGCCCCCCGUUUUGUUUUUUUAAUUUUUUUUUAAAUUUUUUUUUUUUUUUAAUGUGCAGUGUACGGAAUUUCGUCUCUUUAAACUCCAUGUGGUUCUGCCCCGGUAAACGGGACGCGUCCAUCCCCGGCUCGCACGCUCCCUUACAUGCUCAAUCCACACAGGAAGAAGCAGAAGUUUUAGCCAUCUUCCCAUGGCAUCUGACUUUUUUGAAGAGGAGCAGCAUAUUAAAAUGUGAAAGCCUAAGACUAAUCUGCUUUUCAACCACUUGA